rnacentral:rRNA from 1 species
GAUGAACGCUGGCGGCGUGCCUAAUACAUGCAAGUCGAGCGAAUGGAUUAAGAGCUUGCUCUUAUGAAGUUAGCGGCGGACGGGUGAGUAACACGUGGGUAACCUGCCCAUAAGACUGGGAUAACUCCGGGAAACCGGGGCUAAUACCGGAUAAUAUUUUGAACUGCAUGGUUCAAAAUUGAAAGGCGGCUUCGGCUGUCACUUAUGGAUGGACGCGCGUCGCAUUAGCUAGUUGGUGAGGUAACGGCUCACCAAGGCAACGAUGCGUAGCCGACCUGAGAGGGUGAUCGGCCACACUGGGACUGAGACACGGCCCAGACUCCUACGGGAGGCAGCAGUAGGGAAUCUUCCGCAAUGGACGAAAGUCUGACGGAGCAACGCCGCGUGAGUGAUGAAGGCUUUCGGGUCGUAAAACUCUGUUGUUAGGGAAGAACAAGUGCUAGUUGAAUAAGCUGGCACCUUGACGGUACCUAACCAGAAAGCCACGGCUAACUACGUGCCAGCCGCCGCGGUAA